CCAGUGACAUCACGUUCAACGGCCGCGGUAUCCUAACCGUGCAAAGGUAGCGCAAUCAAUUGUCCCAUAAAUCGAGACUUGUAUGAACGGCCAAACGAGAUCUUAACUGUCUCCUCCAGAUAAUCAGUGAAAUUGAUCUCCCUGUGCAAAAGCAGGAAUAACCACAUAAGACAAGAAGACCCUGUGGAACUUUAAAAUCAGCAGUCACCUUCACCACCCUUCCCCCUCCAACCGGACAUCACCCUUCACCCGAAAAACAUUGACCUGCAUUUUUUGGUUGGGGCGACCUUGGAGAAAAACAAACCCUCCAAACAUAAGACUACUCCUCUUAACCAAGAACAACCAAUCAACGUACUUACAGUAACCAGACCCAAUAUAAUUGAUCAAUGGACCAAGCUACCCCAGGGAUAACAGCGCAAUCUCCUUCAAGAGCCCCCAUCGACAAGGAGGUUUACGACCUCGAUGUUGGAUCAGGACAUCCUAGUG
rnacentral:rRNA from 1 species